CCUACGGGAUGCAGCAGUGGGGGAUAUUGCACAAUGGGGGAAACCCUGAUGCAGCGACGCCGCGUGAGUGAAGAAGUAUUUCGGUAUGUAAAGCUCUAUCAGCAGGGAAGAAAAUGACAGUACCUGACCAAGAAGCCCCGGCUAACUACGUGCCAGCAGCCGCGGUAAUACGUAGGGGGCAAGCGUUAUCCGGAUUUACUGGGUGUAAAGGGAGCGUAGACGGUUAUGUAAGUCUGGGGUGAAAGCCCGGGGCCCAACCCCGGGACUGCUUUGGAAACUGUGUAACUGGAGUGCAGGAGGGGCAGGAGGAAUUCCUGGUGUAGCGGUGAAAUGCGUAGAUAUCAGGAGGAAUACCGUUAGCGAAGGCGGCAAUCUGGCUGGAAACUGACGCUGAGGUGCGAAAGCGUGGGUAGCAAACAGGAUUAGAUACCCCUGUAGUC
rnacentral:rRNA from 1 species